UUUCGGGUGGAUGACGGGAGCAGGCUUCACACAGGGGGACGCCUUGGCUCCUUUUCUUCUUGUGGGCUUCCACCUCACAUAUGGCUUUCGAAAUUCAGAAGGGGCCAGAGAGGGCAGCAUUAACUUGGGUGCAGAGCAAGAAGGAGGUUCUGACUGAGUCUCAGACAAGGGGAAGCUGGUCCUGGCUUCAGACCCACAAGGCGUAGCAGGCAGUGAUGUUGGAGACUCAAAACCAUCUUCUCCACGAACCCCCACUGAAGGGAACCCUGGAAGUGUCUGUAAGACAGCGGCUGGCUGGAUCAGAUGAGGAAUCUGGACCACUGUGUUGCUUGGAGGAACUUCUGACUGAGUUGGCCACGGUGCCAUUUUCCCAGGGUUGAACACAGGCUGAACAGAGGAGCUGGGUUGGAUAAGGAGGGGCUUCUGGACCAAUGGCCGCUUCUGUGGCCAAGCCUUUCUGGAGAAACGCUUGGAACCCGGCUUCAGUUUGAGCACCACACCCUUGGGUAGCAGCAGUGGGUACUGAGGUUCAUCUCCCAGGGCAGGGCUGGCUUUCUGUAAGUGCUGAUCGGUGCUGCUCUCAGUGGCUGUGGUCACACUUCCUCCCUCUGUAGCGCCUUCGGAUAUGUUCCGCAGUUCAUCCUGAAUGGACUGUAGACUGGCCUGCAGGACAAGAACACUCUGCUCUAGAACACAGCAGACGUUAAGGGAAAGGAAAACUUAGCUUUCUGGAUUCUGAACACUACUGAAAGGGAGCCGCAACAUAUGGUUCCAAGACGGGUAUUUCUCUGCAUCAAUUUUCUAACACAAGAACAUUUCAAUUCUAUAAACUCGUCCAGAAUUUACAUUGGGAAAUUAUCAUGUAACUCCUACAGGAGCUGUCAGUGACUUUUGCCUCACACAGAUUUUGAAGGAAGGCCUGACCUUUAACCAGAAUGGAAGCCGGUGUUCUUCCUUCUCAAAAGGUGGCUUCCACUGAUGUGGCUGGAUCUCUUCACAGCACCUCACCAGAACUGGCAGCUGUUUGGUCUUCUUAUAAAACUAAACAUGAAAACACAGAGUAUAAGUCAUAUUCUUUCAGACUGGUAAAUGGGAUGGCUGAUAGUUUCAUACACACAAAUGUAUCAGGAGUAUAUCCUGAAUGUUUCUGCAGUUCAAAAACAGUAUUUCUAAUUAAUGAAGAUUUUGCAAUUAUUUAGUAUCUAAAUGCAAACAUCCAUUUUGAUUACCAUUAAAACUCAAACCUAUCUUUCUCAAUGACCCCCACUGUAGGGAAACGUGGAAGUUUAGGUCAGAAAGAACAGAAGUAAACGAUCAAAAUAAUCUCAUUAAAUGUCUUCACUUGCAUAUAGAGCUUUAUCUCAUUUUACACACAGAAACUGCUCUUUUUAAAAAAGAUUUAUUUAUGUAUUUAUUAUAUGUAAGUACACUGUAGCUGUCUUAUGACACACCAGAAGAGGGCAUCAGAUCUUAUUAUGGAUGGUUGUGAGCCACCAUGUGGUUGCUGGGAUUUGAACUCAGGACCUUUGCAUGAGCAGUCAGUGCUCUUACCCGCUGAGCCAUAUCUCCAGCCCCCCAGAAACUACUUUUAAGUAGUUAACUGGAAAAGACACUAUGAACCAAGCACAAUGGAACCUGAUUAUAAUCCCAGGGAAAGAGGAGGAGGAAGAGGAGAUAGAGGAGGAAGAAGAAGAGAGAAAGAGACAGAUUAUGUUAGUUUCAUUUUAAAAGUAAGUGGGCUAGGUGUGGUGACACAUACUUUUAUGCCAGCACUUGGGAGGCAGAGAAAAAAGGGUCUCCAUGUGGUCAGUAUACUAGCCUGGUCUACAUAGUAAGCUCCAGGACAGACAAAGGUCCACAGAGACUCAGUCGCAAUCAAUCAGUGAAUAAAUAAAUGAAGAACAUACACUGAGAGACAUGCCUCAAACAAACAAACAAGCUAGCUAAUAACUAGAAUAAAUGGUGCAGUCACUAGGCAUGAGCCUGGUACAAGGAGGAACCGACUUCCUCAAGUUGUCCUCUGACCUCAUGUGCAUACUGUGACAUGUGUAUAACCCUGCCCAUGUAAAUAAGUGUGAUUUAUAAAUAAAUAAAUAAAUAAAUCAGGAAGAUUGACAAAUGGCUCAAUAGUUUAAAGUUCUGCUGCUCUCACACUGUACCUGGUUCAGUCCAAUUGCCCACAAUGGGUAAUGAAUUCAGUGCCCUCUUCUGACCUCCACAGGCCAUGCACAAACAUGGUGCACAAAUGCUCAGGCACACACAGAUGCACAUAGAAAUUGACAAAGCCUUUAGCUCAGGCACACACAGAUGCACAUAGAAAUUGACAAAGCCUUUAAAAAUGAGCCCGGCAGUGGUGGUCCACGCCUUUAAUCCCAGCACUCAGGAGGCAGAGGCAGGCAAAUUUCUGAGUUCGAGGCCAGCAUGGUCUAUAGAGUGACUUAUAGGACAGCCAGUUCUACACAGAGAAACUCUGUCUCAAAAAACCAAAACAACAACAACCCCGAUCUAUUUGUGAAAUAGUGAAUGAAUAAGGAAGGGUUCUAGGGACAGGGUUCAGUGAGACAUCAGUGUCUAACACUGAAGGAAGGAGGCAGAAAAGCAGGGAGAGGAAGACAGACAGGAGUCCAUGACUGAAAGUUAGUAAUUUAGGCCUAAUUCCAAAAACCAAGAAGUCAGUUCCAACCCUGCUGAGUAACACCACAGUAAGCCUACCACCUUCCCAAACACCUGGGCUACCAGGAAAAGGGAUAAAACACUUUUAUAACAAAAGCCUCCCAUCACUGACAGCUGAGAGGGAAAGGAGGCAGAGGGAGUUUUCACACACACUCACUCACUCACUUUAAUCACGUUGUUAGGAGCUCUGUUCAGGUUGAGGUUCUUGAUUCUCACCGUCAGCUGGUGAGCAGUCUUACAAGUUACAAGGUACUUGCUGAUCAGAGGCUUAGGAAAAUCGGUCCCUUCGAAAUGCUUCAGUCCUAAAGCCAACAGACUGAGAGAGAACCAAAGUCACAUAUGGUUCUGCAAGGAGCUCUUCAACCUGCAUGCUUCACAGCCUCCUCCCACACCCUUAGAGAGUUACAGAUCACUGCGUAUUUUAAUAACCAAACAUGAAAAGCUCAAUGACCCUGGAUUAAUCACCAGCACUACUGAAAAUAAAUAUGCUUAAAGCACUAACAUUCUUGGUGAC
rnacentral:lncRNA from 1 species